GCACAACCUUCCACAGAGACCCUGCUCAUCAUGCUGCCUGCCUGUCUGCAGAUUUUGUUCACUCUUGGGAAAAAAAAAACAAAAACAAACAAACAAAAAAAAAACCUUGAUUGCAUGGAAUCAUCACAUUGAGAGAGACCAGGAGGAAGAAGUAAGCACUCCAUGGAAAACACCUGUCCUACACACAGAAAGGGGAGUGUGGUGGUUAGCAGCCAGUCCUCCAUCCUUCUGCUGGGAACUUGGAUGCUAGAGCUCUUGCAGUCACACUGGGCCAUGAAGAUAAAGGUCACCCCCUAGGAAUGAUAGAGCAGAAAGCUGGAAGGAACCUGGGUCCCUGAUCUCUGUGGAGCCACUGAACUGCCUCUAAUGAAGGAAAACAUUUCUCUCAUUUAUGCUGCAUGUUCUUUUCGAUUUUAUGUUAUAUUUAGUGGAGUAUAAUCCUAAUUUGAUACAAUUGCCAACUUUUAAAAAUCAGGAAAUUUCACACAAAUAUUCAGCUCUCUGGCUUUUCUCUUGAAAAUUUGGUACAUCUGACAAAACAUGAAGUCAUGCUUCCCAUUGCAGCAACUGACCUGGGCAGGAUAAUGGAUGCCUGCUUCAGACAGGGAUGGAGACCUCACCAAUUUUUUUUCCUUCAUUUUAAUUGGGAAGUGGGGCAAGAUGGAAAAAUUGUGGAUGCCAACUUUGUAACUUUGUCUUUCUCCCUGCAUCAUUUUUAGCAAGAACAUUUCGACACUGGUGUAGUCCACAAGGGAAGAUACUGAGAGAGGAGAAAGGAAGAAACCUUUCAGGCAUCAGUUAGGGUGGGUCCUUGGUUAAAUUCUUUCAAACAAAAGAACAGCCUGAAAAAUCAAG
rnacentral:lncRNA from 1 species